ACUGUACAUAUACUGGACAAUUCGAUUCCAUAGGCUUCAAUAACACGUUAUCUGUCCAUAAUGGGAGGUGUCCACCACCGCCAUUUUGACCGUGUCACAGGUUCCGUCCAGCCCAGACAAUUCCAUAAAAGGGAAGAGAGGAGGCGCUGAGGGUGUGGCUGUAAGGCUGGGCUCGAGUGACGACACCCAGGCGAACUAGCUACGAGCUAACCUGAAGCUAACCCUGGCUAACCCAAAGCUAAAGCGGAGGUGGGAGCCGAGCUAACGGAUGUAGCCACCUAGCUUCAACCCAACCGGAGCUAACUGGAACACCCAUCGACCUGAACCUCAUACGGUGUUUAGGUGGAGGUUUUCUGCGCCUGUUCGUGAGAAGUACCUGUAUUAAAAAAGUUUUAAAUCGAUCUAUUAAAAGGUCACCAUGGCAGCCUGUGUGUCUCCAACGUCAGCUACACAAAGCAGCAAGUGUAAGUACCAAGUACUUGUCUUGACCACUUCAUGAAUGGUUUUGUACUUUAAACAGCUAGGCCAAACCUGUUAUUUUUUCCUCCAUAGCCAUUUGGAUCAUUGGAGACAGCUGAGUGAGGCGUGGUGCCCAGAGAGCUGCAGAGACAACCUUGGCCUCCCUGACGUCUGUGUCUCUUGGUUUGGUUGGGGCGGACCAUCGACAUACAUACAUGUGCCGACACUUUGCGCCCUGUUUUAUAAACUGUAGUGUUAAAAAUAAAUGUUUUUGCUCAA